AUGUCUCCACGGCAAGCGGGUACCAUCUGCUUGUGGUUGAUGACUACUCGCACAUCAAAGCAAACUACACCUAAUGGAAAGGGGGUCUUCUCUCUCCCUUUCAUGGUAGGAGGCCAUCGUUGGAGAAUCAGCUACUGUCCUAAUGGCCUCCUCUCAGAGAGUGCCAACUCUGCAUCUCUCUUUCUUUCCCUUCUUGAUGAAAAUGUUACGAAGGCUCUGAAGGUGCAGUACGGAUUUAGUUUCGUCGACGAGGUUGAGAAGCAGGAUUCAGCAUUUUUUCGUGCAUUGAAGCCAAGGAACUUCUCCAGCAGUGUUCGAUUUUGGGGUCACAUGGAUUUCAUGAAAAUAGAAGCUCUUGAGAAAUCAAACCAUCUAAAGGAUGAUUGUUUCACCAUCCGAUGUGACCUCGCUGUUGCCACCACAGUUGAUCUCCUCAUCAAGGUACCGCCUUCUAGCAUACAACGGCAUAUCAGCAACCUCCUCCUGUCCAAGGAAGGCACAGACGUGACAUUCAUUGUGUCCUGUGAGAAGUUUGCUGCCCACAGGUGCGUGCUUGCAGCUCGGUCAGCGGUCUUCAAGGCAGAGCUGUUUGGCUCCAUGAAGGAGGGCACUGUAGCAAGUGUCAUAUAUGUAGAAGACAUGGAAGCAAAGGUGUUUAGCGCCUUGCUUGAAUUUAUUUACACCGACACGCUACCUGAUAUGGAGAUAGACAUGGGGGAGGAGGAAGGGGGAGCCCAAGAAGCAUUGUUUUUGCAGCACUUGCUUGCAGCGGCGGAUAGGUACGAUCUCCAAAGGCUGAAAGCACUAUGCGAAAAAAAGCUAUGCAAACACAUAGGUGUUGGCUCAGUGACGACUAUCCUUGCUCUGGCUGAGCAGCACAGCUGUUCUGGAUUGAAGGAGGUUUGCUUUGAGUUCAUCAAGACUCCUGCUAAUUUGAAAGAGAUAACGGCGGCUGAUGGCCUGGAGGGCAUAACUAGAACAUGUCCCUCUCUUCUAAAGGAGCUCAUUGCUAAGUUUACAUCCUAA
rnacentral:rRNA from 1 species